UAGUGUGCUUGCACAUUAUUUUAGUGGCGAACGGGUGAGUAAUGCCUAGGAAUCUGCCCAUUAGCGGGGGAUAACGUGUGGAAACGCACGCUAAUACCGCAUACGCCCUACGGGGGAAAGCAGGGGACUCUUUUAGAGCCUUGUACUAAUGGAUGAGCCUAGGUCGGAUUAGCUAGUUGGUGGGGUAAAGGCCUACCAAGGCGACGAUCUGUAGCGGGUCUGAGAGGAUGAUCCGCCACACUGGAACUGAGACACGGUCCAGACUCCUACGGGAGGCAGCAGUGGGGAAUAUUGGACAAUGGGGGCAACCCUGAUCCAGCCAUGCCGCGUGUGUGAAGAAGGCCUUUUGGUUGUAAAGCACUUUAAGCGAGGAGGAGGCUACCUGUAUUAAUACUAUAGGCUAGUGGACGUUACUCGCAGAAUAAGCACCGGCUAACUCUGUGCCAGCAGCCGCGGUAAUACAGAGGGUGCGAGCGUUAAUCGGAAUUACCGGGCGUAAAGCGCGCGUAGGCGGUUUGUUAAGUCGGAUGUGAAAUCCCCGGGCUCAACCUGGGAAUUGCAUUCGAUACUGGCAAGCUAGAGUAUGGGAGAGGAAGGUAGAAUUCCAGGUGUAGCGGUGAAAUGCGUAGAGAUCUGGAGGAAUACCGAUGGCGAAGGCAGCCUUCUGGCCUAAUACUGACGCUGAGGUGCGAAAGCAUGGGGAGCAAACAGGAUUAGAUACCCUGGUAGUCCAUGCCGUAAACGAUGUCAACUAGCCGCUGGGGGAUUUGAUCCUUUAGUGGCGCAGCUAACGCGAUAAGUUGACCGCCUGGGGAGUACGGUCGCAAGACUAAAACUCAAAUGAAUUGACGGGGGCCCGCACAAGCGGUGGAGCAUGUGGUUUAAUUCGAUGCAACGCGAAGAACCUUACCUGUCUUGACAUAGU
rnacentral:rRNA from 1 species